rnacentral:rRNA from 1 species
CUUAACGCGAAGAACCUUACCAGGCCUUGACAUGCAGAGAACUUUCCAGAGAUGGGUUGGUGCCUUCGGGAACUCUGAGACAGGUGCUGCAUGGCUGUCGUCAGCUCGUGUUGUGAAAUGUUGGGUUAAGUCCCGCAACGAGCGCAACCCUUAUCCUUUGUUGCCAGCGGUUCGGCCGGGAACUCAAAGGAGACUGCCAGUGAUAAACUGGAGGAAGGUGGGGAUGACGUCAAGUCAUCAUGGCCCUUACGAGUAGGGCUACACACGUGCUACAAUGGCGUAUACAAAGAGAAGCGACCUCGCGAGAGCAAGCGGACCUCAUAAAGUACGUCGUAAUCCGGAUUGGAGUCUGCAACUCGACUCCAUGAAGUCGGAAUCGCUAGUAAUCGUAUAUCAGAAUGCUACGGUGAAUACGUUCCCGGGCCUUGUACACACCGAAG